rnacentral:piRNA from 1 species
UAGUAGCACAGAGGAUGAGACGUGAGAAC